UACGGAGGAUGCAAGCGUUAUCCGGAAUUAUUGGGCGUAAAGCGUCCGCAGGUGGCUAAUCAAGUCUGCGGUCAAAGACCGGGGCUUAACCCUGGAAAGGCCGUGGAAACUGAUAGAGCUAGAGUACAGAAGGGGCAACUGGAAUUCUCGGUGUAGCGGUGAAAUGCGUAGAUAUCGAGAGGAACACCUGCGGCGAAGGCGGGUUGCUGGGCUGAUACUGACGCUGAGGCGCGAAAGCUAGGGGAGCGAACGGG
rnacentral:rRNA from 1 species